CCCCCGGAGGCAGAGGGAGAGGGCUCCGGCCCCCUCGGCGUCAUGUCUUCGGUGCCGAUGGUUGCCAGUCCGCCAGUUCUAUCCUCAAGCGCCGGGACACGG
ensembl:snoRNA